CGCUUAUGUUACUAUUAUAAAAAUUAUAAAUAAUUCUCUUAUUGAUUUACCAUCUCCAUCUAAUAUUUCAUCAUGAUGAAAUUUUGGAUCUAUUCUAGCUUUAUGUUUAAUUACCCAAAUUAUUCUAAAAGU